rnacentral:rRNA from 1 species
ACGGCUCAGUAACACGUAGCUAACCCUGCCCUCCAGGAUGGGAAUAACCCCGGGAAACUGGGGCUAAUACCCAAUAGGUGGUAGUAUCUGGAAUGAUCAUCCGCUGAAAAGACGUUAGAAACAUGCUUCUAACGUUGCCUUUAGGAUGGAGCUGCGGCCGAUCAGGUUGUUGGUAGGGUAACGGCCUACCAAGCCUACAACCGGUACGGGCCCUGAGAGGGGGAGCCCGGAGAUGGGAACUGAGACAAGGUCCCAGGUCCUACGGGGCGCAGCAGGCGCGAAAACUCCACAAUGCACAAACGUGUGAUGGGGUCAUCCCGAGUGCCGUCCGAUGAGGAUGGCUUUUUCCUAGUGUAAGGAACUGGGGGAAUAAAGGGGGGGCAAGCCUGGUGUCAGCCGCCGCGGUAAUACCAGCCCCCUGAGUGGUAUGGACGAUUAUUUGGCCUAAAGCGUCCGUAGCCGGCUUAGUAAGUCUUUCGUCAAAUCUAACGAUUCAAUCGUUAGGCCGCGGAAGACACUGCUGGGCUAGAGGAUGGGAGAGGUCGACGGUAGUCCUGGGGGUAGGGGUGAAAUCCUAUAAUCCCAGGAGGACCACCAGUGGCGAAGGCGGUCGACUAGAACAUGCCUGACGGUGAUGGACGAAAGCUGGGGGAGCGAACCGGAUUAGACACCCGGGUAGUCCCAGCUGUAAACGAUGCGGGCUAAGGUGUUGGGGCAGCCAUGAGCUGCUCCAGUGCCGCAGAGAAGUUGUUAAGCCCGCCGCCUGGGAAGUACGGCCGCAAGGCUGAAACUUAAAGGAAUUGUGCGGGGG